rnacentral:rRNA from 1 species
UGGGGAAUAUUGCACAAUGGGGGAAACCCUGAUGCAGCGACGCCGCGUGAGCGAAGAAGGUUUUCGAAUCGUAAAGCUCUGUCCUAUGAGAAGAUAAUGACGGUAUCAUAGGAGGAAGCCCCGGCUAAAUACGUGCCAGCAGCCGCGGUAAUACGUAUGGGGCGAGCGUUGUCCGGAAUUAUUGGGCGUAAAGGGUACGUAGGCGGUCUAUUAAGUCAGGUGUGAAAGCGUGAGGCUUAACCUCAUUAAACACUUGAAACUGAUAGACUUGAGUGAAGGAGAGGAAAGUGGAAUUCCUAGUGUAGCGGUGAAAUGCGUAGAUAUUAGGAGGAAUACCGGUGGCGAAGGCGACUUUCUGGACUUUUACUGACGCUCAGGUACGAAAGCGUGGGGAGCAAACAGG